rnacentral:rRNA from 1 species
AGGUUAAGCUACUAAGAGCACACGGUGGAUGCCUAGGCGCUAGGAGCCGACGAAGGACGUGGCGAACAACGAUAAGGCCUCGGGGAGCUGUAAGCAAGCUUUGAUCCGGGGAUGUCCGAAUGGGGAAACCCAGCUGGAUUCAUCUCCAGUUACUCACAUCUGAAUACAUAGGAUGUGUAGAGGCAGACGAGGGGAACUGAAACAUCUAAGUACCCUCAGGAAGAGAAAACAAGAGUGAUUCCGUCAGUAGCGGCGAGCGAACGCGGAACAGCCUAAACCAAGAAGCUUGCUUCUUGGGGUUGUGGGACGUCUCUUUGGAGUUACAAAGGAACUGGGUAAGUGAAGAGGUCUGGAAAGGCCCGCUAGAAAAGGUGAAAGCCCUGUAGCUGAAAGUCAGUUCUCUCCGAGACGGAUCCCGAGUAGUGCGGGGCACGUGAAACCCCGUAUGAAUCUGCCAGGACCAUCUGGUAAGGCUAAAUACUCCCUAGCGACCGAUAGUGAAGCAGUACCGUGAGGGAAAGGUGAAAAGGACCCCGGAAGGGGAGUGAAAUAGAACCUGAAACCGUGUGCUUACAAAAAGUCAGAGCCCGAUAUAGGGGUGAUGGCGUGCCUUUUGUAGAAUGAACCGGCGAGUUACGUUCCCGUGCAAGGUUAAGGUGAAAAGCCGGAGCCGCAGCGAAAGCGAGUCUGAAUAGGGCGACUGAGUACGUGGACGUAGACCCGAAACCGGGUGAUCUACCCCUGUCCAGGAUGAAGGUACGGUAACACGUACUGGAGGUCCGAACCCACGCACGUUGAAAAGUGCGGGGAUGAGGUGGGGGUAGCGGAGAAAUUCCAAUCGAACCCGGAGAUAGCUGGUUCUCCCCGAAAUAGCUUUAGGGCUAGCCUCGGAAGGUGAGUCGCGGAGGUAGAGCACUGAUUGGAUGCGGGGCCCGCAAGGGUUACCAAGUUCAGUCAAACUCCGAAUGCCGCAGACUUUAUUCCGGGAGUCAGACAGUGGGUGCUAAGGUCCAUUGUCAAAAGGGAAACAGCCCAGACCAUCAGCUAAGGUCCCCAAGUGUGUGUUAAGUGGGAAAGGAUGUGGAGUUGCUUAGACAACCAGGAUGUUGGCUUAGAAGCAGCCACCAUUGAAAGAGUGCGUAAUAGCUCACUGGUCGAGUGACUCUGCGCCGAAAAUGUAACGGGGCUAAACACACCACCGAAGCUAUGGCUUGAUACAUUCGUAUCAGGGGUAGGGGAGCGUUGAAUUUAGGUUGAAGGUGUACCGUAAGGAGCGCUGGACAGAAUUCAAGUGAGAAUGCCGGUAUGAGUAACGAAAAGAUCAGUGAGAAUCUGAUCCGCCGAAAGCCCAAGGGUUCCUGAGGAAGGCUCGUCCUCUCAGGGUAAGUCGGGACCUAAGGCGAGGCCGAAAGGCGUAGUCGACGGACAACAGGUUGAAAUUCCUGUACCACCGAAAGCCGUUAUGAGCAAUGGGGUGACGCAGGAGGGUAGUGACGCGGACUGAUGGAUGUCCGUCUAAGCAGUGAGGCUUGCAUGUAGGUAAAUCCGCAUGCUCCAAGGCCAGGCUGUGAUGGGGAGCGAAAAUUGUAGUAGCGAAGGUCAUGAUCUCACACUGCCAAGAAAAGCCUCUAGCCAGGAAGCAGGUGCCCGUACCGCAAACCGACACAGGUGGGCGAGAAGAGAAUUCUAAGGCGCGCGGAAGAACUCUCGUUAAGGAACUCGGCAAAAUGACCCCGUAACUUCGGGAGAAGGGGUGCCCCGGUAGUGUGAAUAGCACGAGGGGGCCGCAGUGAAAAGGCCCAAGCGACUGUUUAGCAAAAACACAGGUCUGUGCGAAGCCGCAAGGCGAAGUAUACGGGCUGACGCCUGCCCGGUGCUGGAAGGUUAAGGGGAGUGGUUAGCGCAAGCGAAGCUAUGAACCGAAGCCCCAGUAAACGGCGGCCGUAACUAUAACGGUCCUAAGGUAGCGAAAUUCCUUGUCAGGUAAAUUCUGACCCGCACGAAUGGCGUAACGAUUUGGGCGCUGUCUCAACGAGAGAUCCGGUGAAAUUUUAAUACCUGUGAAGAUGCAGGUUACCCGCGACAAGACGGAAAGACCCCAUGGAGCUUUACUGCAGCUUGAUAUUGAACUGGGGUGCGAUUUGUACAGGAUAGGUGGGAGCCUACGAAGAGGGAGCGCAAGCUUCCUUGGAGGCGCCGUUGGGAUACCACCCUGAUCGCAUCUGAGUUCUAACCUGGUACCGUGAUCCGGUACAGGGACCGUGUCAGGUGGGCAGUUUGACUGGGGCGGUCGCCUCCUAAAAUGUAACGGAGGCGCCCUAAGGUUCCCUCAGAAUGGUUGGAAAUCAUUCGAAGAGUGUAAAGGCAUAAGGGAGCUUGACUGCGAGACCUACAAGUCGAGCAGGGACGAAAGUCGGGCUUAGUGAUCCGGUGGUACCGCAUGGAAGGGCCAUCGCUCAACGGAUAAAAGCUACCCUGGGGAUAACAGGCUUAUCUCCCCCAAGAGUCCACAUCGACGGGGAGGUUUGGCACCUCGAUGUCGGCUCAUCGCAUCCUGGGGCUGAAGUAGGUCCCAAGGGUUGGGCUGUUCGCCCAUUAAAGCGGUACGCGAGCUGGGUUCAGAACGUCGUGAGACAGUUCGGUCCCUAUCUGUCGUGGGCGCAGGAAAUUUGAGAGGAGCUGUCCUUAGUACGAGAGGACCGGGAUGGACGCACCGCUGGUGUACCAGUUGUUCCGCCAGGAGCAUCGCUGGGUAGCUACGUGCGGACGGGAUAAGCGCUGAAAGCAUCUAAGCGUGAAGCCCCCCUCAAGAUGAGAUUUCCCAACUAGUAAGACCCCUUGAAGACGACGAGGUAGAUAGGUUGGGGGUGGAAGUGCAGCAAUGCAUGGAGCUGACCAAUACUAAUCGGUCGAGGGCUUAUCCAAAUAA